CUCUGGCACCCCAGCCAGGGCUGAGAUCCCAAACUCACCCCUUUCCUACAGCUCGGGGAACACAAUGGGCAAGAGGUGGCUCCCUGGGAAAAGGGAACGUGACGCCCAGAGCUGCUGCAGAACACAAAGGGAUUCGGCUUUGGAGAUUUCACCAAAGGCAACAAAGCUGGAGAAAUUGUUGCAGAUUCCCAAGAAUGGCACAAGAUGCGCCGUGGCAGCGUUAACGAGAAACUGCUGGAAACGAGAGAACAGCAGGGCGAGGAUGGACUUUCUGACGCUCUUCUCGAUUUACUUGGGUUUGGUUCUCACCGCUCUCGCUCUGCUCUGCGCCUGCUCGGGAAGGAAGGGCCGUGUCCUCAGCAGCAGCGCCAGCGGUGCAGGCCAGGUGUUGUCCCUUGUAAUCCCCACACGCCUCCAGAGGGUGACACAGUGGGCACUGCACAGGCUCUUCCACACCAGAAGCUGCUUGUUUGUUGUGCUGCACAUGGCCUUGCAGGCCGCGGUGUUUGGGGAAUACACCUGGGAGGUGUUUGUGUACUGCUGGGAGCUGCAGUUCCCGCUCCCGCUGCUCCUCCUGCCCUACGUGCUGCUGGCGGGGAGCACGGGCGGCUUCCUGCUCUGCUCCCGCACCGACCCGGGUAUAAUAACAAAAUCAAACCAUGCAUCCUUGGUUAAGAUGUAUGCAUAUGAUGGUGUGUUAUUCCAGAAGGGCGUCACAUGUCCUACGUGCAAAAUGGAGAAGCCAGCCAGAUCGAAACAUUGCAGUAAGGAUCUUAACUGCCUUGAGAAGUGUAACUCUAAGCCUUUCCCAAAGUCUCUGCAGCGCGUGUGUGCAUCGGUUCGAUCACCACUGCGUGUGGGUCAACAACUGCGUGGGUGCCCUGACCGCGCGCUAUUUCCUGCUGUACCUGUGCACGCUGGCGGGCGCAGCCGCAGCCAUCGCUGCCAUCACAGCCGCGUUGCUCACCCGAGUGGUGCUGCUCUCGGGGGUGAUGCACGGGAGCUACAUCGACGAGCAGGGACAGGAGCGCGCUGUGGACAUUCUCUUCCUCAUUCAGGAUUGUAUUCAUGCUGGGGUUCGUUACUCUUCUCACGCUCGUACUGGGUGCGUAUUGCUGCUUCAGUCUGUACUUGGCCUUCACCAACCAGACAUCCAACGAGUGGUAUAAAUCCCGAAGAUAUGGGUGUUCUCACCAUCAGGCCUUGCAGCCUCAUGACAGACAAGUUGGCUACAAAAAUAUUUAUUCUAAAGGAGUCUGGAUGAAUUUAAAGGAAAUCUUUACGCCUCCUACAGUGUUGGAAAGACAGAAGAAAACAUGAAGGAACAUCUCAGGGCUGUACCGUCCUGUGAAGCCACUUACCUACAGAAGCAUUCUCAUUCUCUCCCUUGCUCUCUGAACAAUUAUAGCGGCAAACUUAGGGCUGGUCAAAUUCCCCAAACUGGAGAAAACCAGUGAGUGUUACAUGAACAUCUGUCACUGGCCACAUGGGGUUACACAAUGACAGUCUGGACUUCCACCUCCCCCUCCUGGGAAGAGAUCACAAACUCUCCCGCAUGUUCCAUUAUCUCAAUGUCCUCAGACGCCACCAUCGUCACAGUUGCUUCUUCAGUCUGGAUGCCGCCCUCGGUGGUCAGCACCGCUCCCUCCCCGAUGGCAGACGCCAGCGUCAUCGCCACCUGCUCCGUGAGGCUCUCGGGGGUGGCGAUAGUGAUGGUGUCCCCAGCAUCCGUGGGGACUUCAGAGUCUUCUGCCACGGUGACAUUCUGGACAAUGAUCUGGUGACCAGAGUUUGCUUGAUUUACUAUUUGUUGCACGACCUUCAUGAUGUGGCUGUCAACCUACAUGAGGAGAAAUGAGGCCAUGUUGUUUCUCAGUGUCUUGUACUCUGUCAGAAGUACAGACACUUCUCGUCCCUGUCAAUGUGUGAUGACCAGCAGGGCAGCACAACAAGCACCACUUCAUUCCAGUUUCCUCCAGCUGUUCACUGGAGUUCUCACUGCCCCAAGAACAGCGACUCUUCAAACAGGGCACGUGAAGAUGUUUUGUCAGCAGGGAACUUCCUACAGAACAUCAAAGUGCUGUUGACAGAAAAACCCUAACAAUGCACGUCCAAGCACUUCAACUGGCUGAGCCAAGUCUUAGCAGGACUUAGUUUACUUAGCAUGACUUUUAGACACUAGAAGUGAUUCAUUUCAUCUAGUCCCCAAAAUAAUAGUUUAUGUGGCUGCUUUACCUCAUGUCUUGUUCCCUCUAUGAUUUCAGUAGCUUCGCUCGUCUCCAUAUCUUCAGUAGCAGUCUUGAAAGACAAAAUACAAUUAUUCCAUUUUUAGAUUAUUACCAAGAUAUAAGACACUAAGAUCGUUUACAAAAGUCUUUCUGUUUCCCCCAUGAUGCAGUAGCUACUCUAAAGACAAGUGUUCCUUGAACUUCCCUCCAAAUCCCAUUAUCGAGAGCUACUUAAAAGUGAUUUGAAGUGCUCACAAGUGACUGAAAGAACAUCCUCUCUCAGCAGGACUUGGCCAACUGGCGGAUUUUUCUCCCAUUGGAGAAAAAUGGUGGCAGCACUAAAGGGUCCCAAGAAAUGAACUGUGUUGUUCUGCACAGAUGAGUACUGGCUCUUUGACACAAGGGGGAGAAAGGAAAAAUGCAGAAUUCGUUGCUUUUGGCAGCCACAGCCAGUUAACAACAGCAGAUAUUAUUUUGGACAAAACAAGCAAAAUAGAACUGGGAGGAAAGAGCAGAUAAAAGUUGAGGGAAAGCUGAAGCAAGUUUGUGAGGACAUAAAAUCUGUCGCAGUCAGUUCUCAGUCAGUCUGCCCUGCGUUCUCAUUUUCCUGCCUACGUUAUUUGCAGAAGGUGAAGCAGGCACCCAGCGCUCCUGGCAAACAAGAUUAAUCCGACUUAUUCCUAGGGCUGCGUGAGCAGGGCUAGCAUCAGAUCCUAUUUUACCUUCUCCCAAAAGCCCAGAGGAGGAACACGCACAACUGCAGUUUUUACCGACAAACAGGGAGCUGGGUUGGGCCCGAGGAGGCUGUUUGCCCCACCUCACCUCGAUGAUGUACUCCUGCGUGUCCGCCACCACCGAGGAGAACUCCACCAGCACCGUGUGAGGAUCUUCAGAAAUGACUGUUGCAGCCAGGUUGUCGGCUGACUGACUUUCCUCGGACACUAUCACUUCUUCCACCUCUUUCAAAGCAAGCAGACAGCCACCUGAAUGGGAUUCCAAAAAUGCCAGAAAAAUGGUGUUUGUUAUAACCAUCUCAAGUGCAGGAGUACCGGAGAAAACCGCACAGCACAAACGAAACCCCUUUAACAGGACAGCACCGAGAAAGGACCAACAGUCACACAACAGGCUCUCAUACCCCAAAACGGGCCAAAGACCGGCUGAGAAGGGGCCUGCGUGACUGCAAACAGAACUGAGCCUGGAGCAGAGCAAUGCUCCAGGACCGUUCAAAAAAACCACACAAGUGAAUUCAGAUGCAUAAAACCAUACAGGAUUUCAAAAGCCAUAUAUGAAGAACAUACAGUAAGACUUUGUGUGUGUUUUGAGUCAUAUAUAUUUUCUGCUUAUGCGUUACGCUUCAGGAAACUCUCUUUUUCCUUCAGUAAACUUGCCCUUUACAAUCUCGAUGCAUCGUCAUCACUACCUGAAGAAGUUUGAAAAUCCGUGCUUAGGAGCUAAAGGAGCAGCAGGUCCAGUAAAACUAAUCUGAUCAAACAAGAUUAUCUGUGAGACCUCACUCUAUUUAAAACAUUUUCCUCGCACAACAUCCACACUUUGUGUUUUUACAAGAUUUCAUAAAACCCCCAAA